GACUGAGAAACCUUCCAUAGGGUCUUUCACAUAGUGCCCGAGAAGGACAAGAAGGACUGGAGCAAGAAAGCUUACCAGAGACCUGAUGGCACAUUUGGCGGCAUCACUCAUGGCCAAGUGAAAGUUGCGGGCAGCUCCAUGGCUGAGAGGGAUGCUGUGAUUGCACGGGUGUUCGACGUUUGCAUUUUGAUAGAAGGGGGUCUGAACACAGCAAGAAGAGUAGCUGAGUUUGUGUGGAAUGACAAACCAGUGAUUCCAAUUGUUUGCACCGGAAGAGCUGCUGCUGGCAUUUUCAACCCUGGUGUCGAUGUAGACAGCAAUGCAUUGAAUGCCAUAUGGGAGGUAGGAAUUCUCGUCCUG
rnacentral:lncRNA from 1 species